GCCACAUUGGGCAUGGUGGCACAUGCCUAUAGUCCCAGCUACUCGGGAGGCUGAGGCAGGAGGAUCGCUUGAGUCCAGGAGUGCUGGUCUGCAGUGAGCCAGACUGAUGGGGUGUCUGCACUAAGUUCAGCAUCAACAUGGUGACUUUCUGGGAGUGGGAACCACCAGGUUGCCUAAGGAAGGGUGAACUGGCCCAGGUUGGAAAGCUGAAACCAGGCAUAGGCACGGUGGCACAUGUCUUUAAUCCCAACACUCAGGAGCCUGAGGUAAGAGGAUCAUUGUGAGCUCCAGGGCAGCCUGAGACUACAAAGUGCAUUCCAUGUCA
rnacentral:SRP_RNA from 1 species